GACGAACGCUGGCGGCGUGCUUAACACAUGCAAGUCGAACGGAAAGGCCCUGCUUUUGUGGGGUGCUCGAGUGGCGAACGGGUGAGUAACACGUGAGUAACCUGCCCUUGACUUUGGGAUAACUUCAGGAAACUGGGGCUAAUACCGGAUAGGAGCUCCUGCUGCAUGGUGGGGGUUGGAAAGUUUCGGCGGUUGGGGAUGGACUCGCGGCUUAUCAGCUUGUUGGUGGGGUAGUGGCUUACCAAGGCUUUGACGGGUAGCCGGCCUGAGAGGGUGACCGGCCACAUUGGGACUGAGAUACGGCCCAGACUCCUACGGGGGGCAGCAGUGAGGAAUAUUGCACAAUGGGCGGAAGCCUGAUGCAGCAACGCCGCGUGCGGGAUGACGGCCUUCGGGUUGUAAACCGCUUUCGCCUGUGACGAAGCGUGAGUGACGGUAAUGGGUAAAGAAGCACCGGCUAACUACGUG
rnacentral:rRNA from 1 species